rnacentral:rRNA from 1 species
UACGUAGGGGGCAAGCGUUGUCCGGAAUCAUUGGGCGUAAAGCGCGUGUAGGCGGCUCGGUAAGUCUGCUGUGAAAGUCCAGGGCUCAACCCUGGGAUGCCGGUGGAUACUGUCGAGCUCGAGUCCGGAAGAGGCGAGUGGAAUUCCUGGUGUAGCGGUGAAAUGCGCAGAUAUCAGGAGGAACACCAAUGGCGAAGGCAGCGCGCUGGGACGUGACUGACGCUGAGACGCGAAAGCGUGGGGAGCAAACGGG